rnacentral:rRNA from 1 species
AUUGAACGCUGGCGGCAUGCCUUACACAUGCAAGUCGAACGGCAGCGGGCCUUCGGGUGCCGGCGAGUGGCGAACGGGUGAGUAAUGCAUCGGAACGUGCCAUUGAGUGGGGGGAUAACGUAGCGAAAGUUGCGCUAAUACCGCAUAUUCUGUGAGCAGGAAAGCAGGGGACCGCAAGGCCUUGCGCUCUUUGAGCGGCCGAUGUCAGAUUAGCUAGUUGGUGAGGUAAAGGCUUACCAAGGCGACGAUCUGUAGCGGGUCUGAGAGGAUGAUCCGCCACACUGGAACUGAGACACGGUCCAGACUCCUACGGGAGGCAGCAGUGGGGAAUUUUGGACAAUGGGGGCAACCCUGAUCCAGCCAUGCCGCGUGAGUGAAG